UACGUAGGGUGCGAGCGUUAAUCGGAAUUACUGGGCGUAAAGCGUGCGCAGGCGGCUUUGCAAGACAGAUGUGAAAUCCCCGGGCUCAACCUGGGAACUGCAUUUGUGACUGCAAGGCUAGAGUACGGCAGAGGGGGAUGGAAUUCCGCGUGUAGCAGUGAAAUGCGUAGAUAUGCGGAGGAACACCAAUGGCGAAGGCAACCCCCUGGGCCUGUACUGACGCUCAUGCACGAAAGCGUGGGGAGCAAACAGG
rnacentral:rRNA from 1 species